GACGAACGCUGGCGGCGUGCUUAACACAUGCAAGUCGAACGGAAAGGCCCUGCUUUUGUGGGGUGCUCGAGUGGCGAACGGGUGAGUAACACGUGAGUAACCUGCCCUUGACUUUGGGAUAACUUCAGGAAACUGGGGCUAAUACCGGAUAGGAGCUCCUGCUGCAUGGUGGGGGUUGGAAAGUUUCGGCGGUUGGGGAUGGACUCGCGGCUUAUCAGCUUGUUGGUGGGGUAGUGGCUUACCAAGGCUUUGACGGGUAGCCGGCCUGAGAGGGUGACCGGCCACAUUGGGACUGAGAUACGGCCCAGACUCCUACGGGAGGCAGCAGUGGAGAAUAUUGCACAAUGGGCUGAAGCCUGAUGCAGCAACGCCGCGUGCGGGAUGACGGCCUUCGGGUUGUAAACCGCUUUCGCCUGUGACGAAGCGUGAGUGACGGUAAUGGGUAAAGAAGCACCGGCUAACUACGUG
rnacentral:rRNA from 1 species